rnacentral:rRNA from 1 species
AGAGUUUGAUCCUGGCUCAGGAUGAACGCUGGCGGCAUGCCUAAUACAUGCAAGUCGAACGCACUAGUUUACUAGUGAGUGGCGAACGGGUGAGUAACACGUAGAUAACCAACCUAUUAGACGAGGAUAACCAAUGGAAACGUUGGCUAAUACUGGAUAGGAUGCAUAUUCAAAAGAGUGUGUAUUUAAAGGUAGCUUUCGGGCUAUGCUUUUAGAUGGGACUGCGUCGCAUUAGCUAGUUGGUGAGGGUAACGGCCCACCAAGGCAACGAUGCGUAGCUGAGCUGAGAGGCUGAACAGCCACACUGGGACUGAGACACGGCCCAGACUCCUACGGGAGGCAGCAGUAGGGAAUUUUCGGCAAUGGACGAAAGUCUGACCGAGCAAUGCCGCGUGAAUGAAGAAGAUCUUCGGAUUGUAAAAUUCUGUUAUUGGGAAAGAAAGUGCAUAUUAGGAAAUGAAUAUGUAUUGACGGUACCCAUUGAGGAAGCCCCGGCUAACUAUGUGCCAGCAGCCGCGGUAAUACAUAGGGGGCGAGCGUUAUCCGGAAUUAUUGGGCGUAAAGCGUGCGUAGGCGGAAUGUUAAGUCAUUUGUAAAAGAUCUCAGCCCAACUGAGUAAGGCGAAUGAAACUGGCAAUCUUGAGUACGGUAGAGGUAAGUGGAAUUCCAAGUGUAGCGGUGGAAUGCGUAGAUAUUUGGAGGAACACCGAUGGCGAAGGCAGCUUACUGGGCCGGAACUGACGCUGAGGCACGAAAGCGUGGGUAGCAAACAGGAUUAGAUACCCUGGUAGUCCACGCCGUAAACGAUGAGAACUAAGUGUCGGGGUAACACUCGGUGCUGAAGUUAACGCAAUAAGUUCUCCGCCUGGGUAGUACGGUCGCAAGACUGAAACUCAAAGGAAUUGACGGGAACCCGCACAAGCGGUGGAGUAUGUUGUUUAAUUCGAGGAUACACGAAGAACCUUACCAGGUCUUGACAUACCAUUGACCACUAUAGAGACAUAGUUUUCCCUUCGGGGACAAUGGAUACAGGUGGUGCAUGGUUGUCGUCAGCUCGUGCCGUGAGGUGUUGGGUUAAGUCCCAUAACGAGCGCAACCCUUAUUGCUAGUUGCUAAUAUUAAGUUAAGGACUCUAGCGAGACUGCCAGCGACAAGCUGGAGGAAGGUGGGGAUGACGUCAAAUCAUCAUGCCCUUUAUGACCUGGGCUACAAACGUACUACAAUGGCCAAGAACAAAGAGCAGCUAAGUCGCGAGAUGGAGCGAAACUCAGAAAAUUGGUCUCAGUUCGGAUUGGAGUCUGCAACUCGACUCCAUGAAGUUGGAAUCGCUAGUAAUCGCAAGUCAGCAGAUUGCGGUGAAUACGUUCCCGGGUUUUGUACACACCGCCCGUCAAACCACGAGAGUUUGUAACACCCGAAGCCGGUGGCCUUUAGGGGAGCCGUCGAAGGUGGGACAGAUGAUUGGGGUUAAGUCGUAACAAGGUAUCCCUACGGGAACGUGGGGAUGGAUCACCU